GACGAACGCUGGCGGCGUGCUUAACACAUGCAAGUCGAACGGAAAGGCCCUGCUUUUGUGGGGUGCUCGAGUGGCGAACGGGUGAGUAACACGUGAGUAACCUGCCCUUGACUUUGGGAUAACUUCAGGAAACUGGGGCUAAUACCGGAUAGGAGCUCCUGCUGCAUGGUGGGGGUUGGAAAGUUUCGGCGGUUGGGGAUGGACUCGCGGCUUAUCAGCUUGUUGGUGGGGUAGUGGCUUACCAAGGCUUUGACGGGUAGCCGGCCUGAGAGGGUGACCGGCCACAUUGGGACUGAGAUACGGCCCAGACUCCCACGGGAGGCAGCAGUGGGGAAUAUUGCACAAUGGGCGGAAGCCUGAUGCAGCAACGCCGCGUGCGGGAUGACGGCCUUCGGGUUGUAAACCGCUUUCGCCUGUGACGAAGCGUGAGUGACGGUAAUGGGUAAAGAAGCACCGGCUAACUACGUGCCAGCAGCCGCGGUGAUACGUAGGGUGCGAGCGUUGUCCGGAUUUAUUGGGCGUAAAGGGCUCGUAGGUGGUUGAUCGCGUCGGAAGUGUAAUCUUGGGGCUUAACCCUGAGCGUGCUUUCGAUACGGGUUGACUUGAGGAAGGUAGGGGAGAAUGGAAUUCCUGGUGGAGCGGUGGAAUGCGCAGAUAUCAGGAGGAACACCAGUGGCGAAGGCGGUUCUCUGGGCCUUUCCUGACGCUGAGGAGCGAAAGCGUGGGGAGCGAACAGGCUUAGAUACCCUGGUAGUCCACGCUGUAAACGGUGGGUACUAGGUGUGGGGUCCAUUCCACGGGUUCCGUGCCGUAGCUAACGCUUUAAGUACCCCGCCUGGGGAGUACGGCCGCAAGGCUAAAACUCAAAGGAAUUGACGGGGCCCCGCACAAGCGGCGGAGCAUGCGGAUUAAUUCGAUGCAACGCGUAGAACCUUACCUGGGUUUGACAUGGAUCGGGAGUGCUCAGAGAUGGGUGUGCCUCUUUUGGGGUCGGUUCACAGGUGGUGCAUGGCUGUCGUCAGCUCGUGUCGUGAGAUGUUGGGUUAAGUCCCGCAACGAGCGCAACCCUUGUUCACUGUUGCCAGCACGUUAUGGUGGGGACUCAGUGGAGACCGCCGGGGUCAACUCGGAGGAAGGUGGGGAUGACGUCAAGUCAUCAUGCCCCUUAUGUCCAGGGCUUCACGCAUGCUACAAUGGCUGGUACAGAGAGUGGCGAGCCUGUGAGGGUGAGCGAAUCUCGGAAAGCCGGUCUCAGUUCGGAUUGGGGUCUGCAACUCGACCUCAUGAAGUCGGAGUCGCUAGUAAUCGCAGAUCAGCAACGCUGCGGUGAAUAAAUUCCCGGGGCU
rnacentral:rRNA from 1 species